UUUUUAGGCAAAGGAGUAGAAUAAGGAGGUUCCCAGGCUAGGGGUCGAAUUGGAGUUGCAGCCACCAGCCUACACCACAGCCAUAGCACCUCAGGAUCCAAGCUGCAUCUGUGACCUACACCACAGCUCACGGCAACGCCGGAUCCUUAACCCACUGAGCGAGGACAGGAAUUGAACCUACAACCUCAUGAUUAUGAGUUGGAUUUGUUUCCGCUGCACCACAACGUAACUCCUGAACCACACUUUCCAUCAUCGAACUGGAAGCACUUCAUCAACAAUCCAGGAAGACAGGGCAUUCCAGGAUGACCAUUCACUCCGUUUGUGGAAAUAAAGUAGCCUUCAGUCCUUUACAAUUUUGCUGAACAAUGACUGCUAAGAGAAGUUUCAAAUAUUUGCUGGAGAUACUCUUGGAAAAUAGAGGGCAAUUUACUGGCCUGUGUGAUUUUCAAGUGGAAGAAUAUGUCAAUCACCUAAUUACCAACUAUUCAUCAAGGAGGGCUUUUAAAUACAUUGUAAAUGAAACGUGUAAAUUAGCCACGAAUUCUAAAUGUACUAUACUGUAUAAACACAGAGCAGAAAUCUUUUCAAAAGUGUAAUUUAUUCAAAGGCGUUUCCUAGCUUAAAUACAUUCUCCCUGAAAAGCUAUCUGUAUUGACCCAAGUUACUACAUCUUCCAUGGUCCUUUUAGAAUAGAUAUUUAUUCAAAAGCUGCAAAAUAAUGGGGAACGAGUCUUCCAGUUGAAGUUAGUAUUACACAAAGUCACUUAGGACAUCACUUUUUAUUAUUCCAGUCCAGCAUCCUCCCUUCCUUUCCAUUGCGUCCUCUAGGCCUCAACACAACCUCCGUUUCUAGUAAGCACGAAAUAAUCCUUAUUUUUUACAUGACAGUUAGUCUCAAAAACAAAACAGGGAGUUGCAAAAUUGGAGGUCAGUGAACAAAAUUUGCUGCCCCUCAACCACACUGAUGCGUGCCAGGGUAGAAAAGUCAUUCCUAAUUCCUCCCAUUGCCGUCCAGAUCCAAAAAGGAAAGGGAACCAAGAUUUGGGACCAGAGUCCUUGGCAAAAAGAGAAAACCAUAAAAGUUUAAAAGAAAAUUUAAAAAAUUUAGAAAGCAGCAUUUAAAAUUGAACUGAUCUUGUGAGCAAAAAGGAAUUUGUUACUUAAAACAGAAAUGACAUACAUGAUGGGAUAUUAAGCAACAGGUAAGUAUUUUAUAUUGGACUUCCGUCGACGAUGCUGUUAAAUGCUGGCUCUCCCCAUUACAUGGUGAGCGUAGCCACUCUUGAGCUAAAAGAACACACACAGACAAACUUAAUGCAUGCAUUCCCAAACUACACACUUUCACCUAAUUUGUGGAAAUAGAUUAUAUUUCUGUUUAAAUACAAAGUAAAAGGAGGAGAAAUUUUGAAACGUUUGUCAGUCUUAUGAUUCGCAAACUGCAGGAACCACUGUGAUUCAUAUUAGCCAACAGGGUACGAAGAUCUCUGUUUACAUCCACGACGUGAUCAAAUCUUUUCACAACACCAGGGGCGCCUAUUCAUGGCAUUAAGAAGCAAGGUGAUUUAAACUUCCAGACACUGUCGAUGUGCUGUUCUGUUCAAAGGAAAAGUACGGGGUAUAUCAAAGGCAACCUCUGUAUUAAGAGCGAAUUUACAACUUCACUGCUUUCUUAAAUCAGAUCCCAUUGCUCACAAUGUUUACAUCAUUUAAGAAUUUGUACAUUUAAAAGAAGAACAAGAAGGAGUUUCCAUUGUGGUACAGAGGAAAUGAAUCCAACUAUAUUCAUGAAGAUGUGGGUUUGAUCCCUGGCCUUGCCCAGUGGGUCAGGGAUCCAGCAUUGCCAUGAGCUGUGGUGUAGGUCGCAGAUGCGGCUCAGAUCCUGCGUUGCUGUGGUGUAGGCUGGCAGCUGCAGCUCUGAUUUGACCUCUAGCCUGGGAACCUCCAUAUGCUACGAGCGCAGCCCUAAAAAAAAGAAAAAAAAAAAUACCAAGAACAAAAAUCAUAAUAAUUCAUUAUUACCAAAGGCAGAGUUGCGCCCAGGGUUAUAACAUCAACUUUCUACAUAAAUUCUAGACAUAUUAGUAGUCUAUUGAGUGAAUAAAAGAAAUAACAUAAUCCCAACCACAAAAGGCAGACUAAAAUCUUCCCAAACCUUCUUGGGUUUGACCUGCUCACACACUACUCACCAAAUGAGGAUAAAAGCAGCUACAGAUCAUUUUGUAUUCGUUUUGUACGUCGUUACUACAUAAUUUAAUUCCUCCUACUCCACUUGAGCUUAUCACUGUUUGAGUAUUGCCAUUAAAAAUUACUGAAUAACGAGAUAAGAUAAUGCUAGGCUAGGAGCUAUACUGAGCAAGAAAAUCGGUUCCCUCUAUAGAGGAGCUCAAAGGCCCAACAUAAAAUCAAGAGACCACACAGAACAAGAAUAAGCGUUGUCAUAGCAGAAGAGCACUGAAUGCAUAAGGAACGAGCAUGGGAUUGUUGAAAAACGGGUUCUGAAGAGGCCGUGGGCUGCUUUCCAAGCAAAGCCUAGCACACAAAAUGUAUUGUGACCAGAGAGAAGUAUUUUGGUACUUGCCACAUCAUACAUGCUCAAUAAAUAUUUCCUGAAAUAAGCAACAGAAUGAGGGGAUAAAUGGAUGGAUGCAGUCCUAUCUGAAAUAUAGGGAGGAAAAAAAAGAGAGAGAGAGAGAAGACAACUUUGUAUGACCAUGAGGAGAAAGAAGGCGAUGAUAAAUGCAGAGAAAGUUCUAUUUCUAAGGAUUUAGAUAAAAACGGGGCAACUCCGAAAUCAAUCUCUCCAAUUACAUCAAUCUCACCCAGAUUUUUUUCAGCAUUCAUUCUAGCAACACGCCAGAGCAUGCUUACAGCAGGCUUCAGGGAAGGAGCACCCUCUUGCUUCCUGCUUUCAAAGGGUGCUGCCUCCACUUAGUGAUGUUUAUAAAAAUGGCAGCAGUUUCCUAUUUGAAUGUUAAUUACUGUUAUGACACACAAGCUAAUUUAACUUGCUUCAGUAAUUUAUUCUUCCUUGUAAUUAGAUGCAGUAAUUGGAAACUCUUCCAGAGUGUAACACCAGUUUCUGAAGGUGAAAUGGCAGGGGGAGGGAGCUUUCCCACAGGCUCGCCACGGUGCAUCGGUGCAUCGGGAGCUGGCUCUUCAGCUGGCCGGCACUCGGAUGAACCAGGCCAGGCAUCAGAGAUGGUCCUUCUGGAAUCAAGUAGGUGGCACCCAUGACCUUUAAAGAGUUGGAUGAUUCAGGAGCAAGGCGAAGCCCCAGCAGAAGGUUACAGCUACCCUGAGAAGCGGACUAAAAGCUAAACUGGAAUGAAUCCAGGAAUGGUACCACGCGGGGCCAUUUUAAACCCUCUAGACUGGGAGCUAGUUACAUGCAGUGCAGAGACUCCGCCGUAGGAUUACAGGCCAAACACACCACGGGGUGUGAUGGACUCUUCAUUUUACAUGAUUUACAGAAGUAUUUUGGUACUUGCCACAUCAUACAUGCUCAAUAAAUAUUUCCCGAAAUGAGCCACAGAAUGAGGGGAUAAAUGGAUGGAUGCAGGCAUGGCUUAGCAAUAAUUAUAGCCAACAUGUAUUCAAUACACAGAACACACCGGGUACCAUGCUGAGCACCUGCCUUUCCUCCUCUCCCGAUUUCCUUGUACCCAAUGCCUUAUUAUGUAUCUUGACCUAAAAUCUUUUUAUUUGUUCUUUUAUUUUAUGAUUUUUAUUUUUUCCAUUAUAGUUGAUUUACUGUGUUCUGUCAAUUUCUAGGCACAACAAAGUGACCCAGUAAUACAUGCCUACAUACAUACAUACA
rnacentral:lncRNA from 1 species